rnacentral:rRNA from 1 species
CCCUUAGAUGUUCUGGGCCGCACGCGCGCUACACUGAUUCAUGCAACAAGUUUUGUCCUUGGCUGAUAGGCCUGGGUAAUCUUUGAACGUGAAUCGUGAUGGGGAUAGAUGAUUGCAAUUAUUCAUCUUCGACGAGGAAUUCCUAGUAAACGCAAGUCAUCAGCUUGCAUUGAUUACGUCCCUGCCCUUUGUACACACCGCCCGUCGCACCUACCGAUUGAAUGGUCCGGUGAAAUCUUCGGAUCUGAGAGAUGUCUGAUUAAUUUCGGACGCCUUUUGGAAAAGUUGUUUAAACCUUACCAUUUAGAGGAAGGUGAAGUCGUAACA